rnacentral:rRNA from 1 species
UACGUAGGGUGCAAGCGUUGUCCGGAAUUAUUGGGCGUAAAGAGCUCGUAGGCGGUUUGUCGCGUCGAAUGUGAAAACCCGGGGCUCAACCCCGGGCCUGCAUUCGAUACGGGCAGACUAGAGUUCGGUAGGGGAGUCUGGAAUUCCUGGUGUAGCGGUGAAAUGCGCAGAUAUCAGGAGGAACACCGGUGGCGAAGGCGGGACUCUGGGCCGAUACUGACGCUGAGGAGCGAAAGCAUGGGGAGCGAACAGG